CAAUGAUGGAUAGUUGCCUGUGAUCACACACUUGGUACCUUUAAACGCAUGCUGAUCGUAUAGCUCAAUUACACACUUGAAGAAAAAGAGAGAGAAGAGAGAGGUUUUGACAUCACUGGAUUCCCUGCCUGACCAGGACCCUUAAAACUGUCUUAACCUCCUCACAGGACCUUGUGAUGACAAGCUGCUGUAUCACUAAAGUUUCUUUUAGUCGAGUCUCUCCCACACACUUCCGCAGGCGUCGCAUCACAACAUCUUCAAGCUCUUUUCGGG